UACGAGGGGGGCUAGCGUUGCUCGGAAUCACUGGGCGUAAAGCGCACGUAGGCGGCUUCUUAAGUCAGGGGUGAAAUCCUGGAGCUCAACUCCAGAACUGCCUUUGAUACUGAGAGGCUUGAGUCCGGGAGAGGUGAGUGGAACUGCGAGUGUAGAGGUGAAAUUCGUAGAUAUUCGCAAGAACACCAGCGGCGAAGGCGGCGCUCUGGGCCGGUACUGACGCUGAGGAGCGAAAGCGUGGGGAGCAAACAGG
rnacentral:rRNA from 1 species